AACGAACGCUGGCGGCAGGCUUAACACAUGCAAGUCGAGCGCCCCGCAAGGGGGGCGGCAGACGGGUGAGUAACGCGUGGGAAUCUACCCAUCUCUACGGAAUAACGCAUGGAAACGUGUGCUAAUACCGUAUAAGUCCUUCGGGAGAAAGAUUUAUCGGAGAUGGAUGGGCCGGCGGUGGAUUAUAUAGUUGGUGGGGUAAAGGCCUACCAAGGCGACGAUCCAUAGCUGGUCUGAGAGGAUGAUCAGCCACACUGGGACUGAGACACGGCCCAGACUCCUACGGGAGGCAGCAGUGGGUAAUAUUGGACAAUGGGCGCAAGCCUGAUCCAGCCAUGCCGCGUGAGUGAUGAAGGCCCUAGGGUUGUAAAGCUCUUUCACCGGUGAAGAUAAUGACGGUAACCGGAGAAGAAGCCCCGGCUAACUUCGUGCCAGCCGCCGCCGUAACAC
rnacentral:rRNA from 1 species